AUUAUCCUCAAAUCCACUCAAUCACUCUCUUCCAAUCACCUCCUAUCACCCUCAAGUGAACACAUCCUAAACGAAUAUUGUAACUACAUUGAAUAUUACUUCUUCUAACUUUUAAUUACGUAUAUUGGUUUCAUUAUAAAUUAUGACAUUUUUGUCCAUUUCAAAAUAAUUAUACCUUUUCUUUGUAACUCAUUAUUAAAGUUUGUGUUGGUACUUCUUUUCACUAAAUUUUUGAUAUGUUUGAUGAAGACUUUUUUUUAACAUUAAAAAAAAAUGCCCUAUUUGGACUUGAAAUAGGAGUAUGAGAUUUUUAUAAACAUGGUUAACUGAAGAAUAAGGAUGAUUGAGAGAAUUGGUAGAAAAAAAGAAGAGGUUUAUAUUAAAGAGUUUUGUGUUUAUGGUUUAUUAUGUGUGGGUGAAUGAAGAAGAUUAGUUGGGAAUUGGUACAUAGUAUGUAUGGGUUUAUUUCCAUCGUGUCAACUCUCCAACCUCAAUGGUCCCCUUUUCAUCUUUAAUGCACCACACUUCCACUUUCUCACUCACAUACCCUCUUCUUUAUCACUCCAUCAUCCUAUCAUUUUAUAUCCUUCAUUCAUUCUUUUCUUUCACUUUUUUUUUUUUUUUUUCUAUAUGUCAAUCAACACUUUCAUUGAUUAUCAUCGUCAUUAUGCGACCUUGCUAUUUUUUUUUAUAAGUUUCUUAAUCGCUUAAUAUUUUUAAAUAUUAUAUUAGAUAUAUCUUUUUUAUUCUUUAUUAAAAGAAUUAUUUGGUGACGUAAUUGAGAUUGUGCUUUUUGGACAUUAUUGGCUACUGAUUCAAUUUCACAGAUCACCAGCCCCUGCAUUGAUAACCCACACCGACCCACCCCUUCGUAACGAAAAGGAGAAAGAAAGACGCAGAGAAGCCAAAUUUUCGAGUCUUUUUUUUUUUGUUCUGAGGUUGCAGAUAAAAAUCUUCAGCUUUUUUGUUGUAAAUGCCAAUAAUAUUUUCAGCAAAUUCAAAUUACUUGCAAAUUUUUGUUGUUGUUGUUGAUAACGAUGUUGUUAUAUGAUUGGGAAAAUCACUCUUUUGUUAUGUAAAAAGUCUAAAAGUAGAUAUCCUUUUGUUUAUCACAUUGAUAGCUUGUAGGUGAGAACUUUAUUUCUAAUCAUUUAACUCAACAGCUACCACCCAUUUCACAAAUAUCCUUUCCUAUCCUCCAAGAUCUUUUCUUUCAACCCCCCAAACAUAGUUCUAAAACUUCAAGCUUCAAAACGAUUCCUUUUAUAACUUGUUCUAUUCAAUUACACUGAUCUGUGCAAGAGAACUACAAAAUCAAAUAUCUUUUUAUUUUUCUUUUGUAUUGUCUAAACAUUCAGUCGUCUCUCCUUCCAACCAAUCUGUUACAUUAUUAUUACUUUUGUGAAGAAAAAAAGAAUAGGAUAAUAAAUUGGCAUGUCUUUACCUAGAAAUGGGUCAAAAUUUAUGUAUAUUAUAAAGAUAUGUUUGAAUAAAGUUAGGACGCAUUUGAGGUGAAGUAUGUAGAAAGAAAUGUCACUCUCAGAUGUCAGAAUAGAUAACCAUUGGAGAACAUGAGAUUGAAGCAGUAUGGGAAGUUGAAGAAGGUGGAGGUGAGUCUUAUGUUUUUAUAAUUGAAUUAGUCAUUGUCUAAGCAGACAAGUUUCCAUUCUAUUACAUCAUGGGUACAAUGGAUUAGGAUGAUGUUUUAUCUUAUCUAAUAUUUACCUCCAUGCCAUUUCUUUCAUUCAAUCAUCAAUGUAAGGAGACAUGGCCCAUCUUAGAAGAUCAGAGAAACUACAUCCACAGUUCUUGUUUUCUUUUUUCUUUUUUUCUUUUUUUAUAUAUCUCAUUAAUUCAAACUAACCUAUCACGAAUCAAGUUCUUGAAUGAAUGAUUCAAAGUUUUGUGAGUAUCAGAAAUUGCAGACACAUUACAGUUGUGAUGACAGAGGAAGGAAAGGUUGCUUCCAAGAACCAACCAACCAACCUUUAUCUCCUUUGUGUUUUUCUUCUCUAACAAACAAUGAUUCAUAAUAUGUGUUAUUUUAUUAGGUACUUAGCUGUUUCUUCUUCUAACUUUAUCUGUUUGUCACAUGAUGUACCUUAGCUUUGCAUACAUAUAUACAAUCCACGUGAAAUGAGGUAUAGAGUUUGUGACUAAUUUGCAAGAAACAGGUCUUUUUGCUCACUCAUAAGCCUUUGUUUUUCCAUAAUGUUCCACUGAUGAUUCCUUUGUUUGGUGAUUUUAUAUAGAAUUAGGAUUGAACAUGUCUCCUUCUAUUUUAUUGUACACCCUACUGAUGGGUAGAUGCAUCCAAGUGGACACAGCAAAUGGUGAAGAAGCCCCCACAUGCUAAUAUUUAUGCCGGCACAGUUUGUGACAGUGAGGGACUCAACCACUGGACAAGACAUAAUUAAUAUAAACUAAUCAAAAAAAGCAAGAAUUAUGUAUACUACUGUCUUUAGGAUUAUCUAAUAAUUCUACUGUUCUGCAUCAUCACACUAGCAUUUUGGAGCAUUUUCAGGUGGCACUUGCAUCCUCCAAAUCAAAAUCCUUAACUUUUUCUGCUUCUCAUUUGACCUUUAAUGGAAACCCUUUCAACUUAUUCAUCGAAAGUGAUCUCAAAUCCACUUUUCAAGGGCCAAGAACCAAAGGUGCAUAGAAUGGAGAGUCUAUAAUUCUACUUUUGUAAUAUAGAAGAAACACAGAAUUUCAGUUCCAAAAAUAGUUUGAGUGAUAAAUUACCAGGAAUCAAUGUAAAUUUUGGAUUUUGU